ACCAUCAUGUGACUUGAAUCAAACUAUUUCAAAAACAAAGAGCUGGCUUAAGAGGAAUAGAAUGAAGGCUGAGAAGCUAACGUGUCCUACUUGACCCAACAACAAUGAUUAAUGACAAAUGAUUACUGUGAGAACCUCAUGGAGUUCCAGAAGAAAAA